rnacentral:snRNA from 1 species
AUCUUUGCGCUUGGGGCAAUGACGCAGCUAGAGAGGUUAUACCGAGGCGCGUCAAUUGCUGAUUGAAAACUAUUUCUAAACCCCCUCUUUGACUCUCACGGGCAUUGAGAAUUUUUGGAAGGGUUCCCUCUUUGAGGGUAAAACC